AGCGAACGCUGGCGGCAGACUUAACACAUGCAAGUCGAGCGGGCCCUUCGGGGUCAGCGGCAGACGGGUGAGUAACACGUGGGAACGUACCCUUUGGUUCGGAAUAACGCUGGGAAACUAGCGCUAAUACCGGAUACGCCCUUUUGGGGAAAGGCUUGCUGCCGAAGGAUCGGCCCGCGUCUGAUUAGCUAGUUGGUGGGGUAAUGGCCUACCAAGGCGACGAUCAGUAGCUGGUCUGAGAGGAUGAUCAGCCACACUGGGACUGAGACACGGCCCAGACUCCUACGGGAGGCAGCAGUGGGGAAUAUUGGACAAUGGGCGCAAGCCUGAUCCAGCCAUGCCGCGUGAGUGAUGAAGGCCUUAGGGUUGUAAAGCUCUUUUGUCCGGGACGAUAAUGACGGUACCGGAAGAAUAAGCCCCGGCUAACUUCGUG
rnacentral:rRNA from 1 species